UUUCUUCUCCUGCUCAUAAAGAUCUGGCACAAUCUUUUCGCUGAAGUGGGUGAGCGACCGGAUGUCGUAACGUGGCUCAAGCACUUUCAGCAUGUGUUUAAAGCCAUGCUAUGACUCCUGCACGUGACAGCUGGUGUGGGAUUUCAACACACCUGACCAUCAUCUACUCAUUCAGCCUCCCUUCAAAGACCCAGGCAUCACAUCCAGUCCCUGCUGUAUCGUUAAGUCAUACUUACCUGCCAGCCGGCCUUCACAAUCAGCUACAAUUUGUUCUGGAUCAUCUCUCCCUGGCAUGUGCCUCAUUAAUCUGCCAGCUCACAAUGACUCAAGAAACCCUGGACCUUCACCCAAAACCCCAGCCCCACCCACC